UAUUUAUUGGAUUGAAAAUAACGGGGUUUUCCCAUUUCCAAUCUUGGUGGAUGUGGUGGUUUAAAAUCAGAAUUCAUGGGAAGAAUGGGUUAAUGGUUCUCAAUAAUGUUUUUCCUUUUCAAAGAAUUAAUAGUCUGUACAUAGUUUCACAAGUUGUUUUCCUUUUCUGUUUGUUUCCUGUGAAAAUAGAGGAAGCUUUUCCUGCAACAUUGUUCUUUCCUUUUUUCUCUUUUUUUUUUUUAACACUGUUAUUAUGCCAAUUUCGCUAUUAUGUUAUAGAAACAGUACUUUCAAUUAAUAGAUUUUCAAAUAUUUUUAGCCGUUUAGAGGACCUUGUUGAUCAAUUUGUUUAAACAGAGUGCAGUAGAAAUGGCUGCAUUCAAACUCCAGAAAACCCAGAGCCUGUUUUCUUCUUCAUAUAAAACCUCCUCCUUCUUCUCCACCUGGUACUCUCCGCCGCCGCCGACUCCUUCUUACCAUGAAGAUCCGAUUCUCUCAACUAUCUCCGACGCAAUUAAAAACUGCGAAUCAAAGCCACUUCAAGUCUCGCUCAAGAAAAUCCUCCCUUCCCUCAAAGCUCAUCAUGUUAUCAAUCUCAUCAACAAAAACCCUAAUUCUCUCUCUCCACAGUUUAUCUUUUCUUUCUUCAACUUUCUCUCGUCAUGCCCCACCUUUCGCCACACAAUUCAGUCUUAUUGCACCAUGGUCCAUUUCCUAUUUGCCCGCCGAAUGCAUUCUCAAGCCCAAUCUCUGCUUCAUUUCGUUGUCUCUCGCAAAGGAAAAGACUCUGCUUACUUAAUUUUUGCUUCAAUUCUUGAAACUAAAGGUACCCAUUUAUCAAAUUCUGUUCUUGAUGCUCUAAUGAAUGCUUAUACAGAUUUAGGAUUCGUAUCAGAUGCUAUUCAGUGUUUUAGAUUGAUAAAGAAACAUAAUUUUCAAAUCCCAUUCCAUGGUUGUAAGUGUUUGCUUGAUAGAAUGAUUAAAACCAGCUCGCCUUUAGUGGCUUGGAGGUUUUAUCUUGAGAUUUUGGAUUCUGGAUAUCCUGCAAAUGUAUAUAAUUUCAAUCUUUUAAUUAAUAGAUUGUGUAAAGAGGGUAAAAUUACAGAUGCUCAUAUGGUUUUCGAUGAAAUAGCAAAGAAGGGUUUGCGGCCUACUGUUGUCAGUUUUAAUACUUUGAUCAAUGGCCAUUGUAAAUUAGGGAAUUUAGAAGAAAGUUUUAGGUUGAAGAUGGUUAUGGAGAAGAAUAGGAUUUUUCCUGAUGUUUUUACUUAUAGUGUUUUGAUCAAUGGCUUGUGUAAGGAUUUUAGGUUAGAUGAUGCUAACAAGUUGUUUGCCGAAAUGUGUGAGAGAGAUUUGGAACCGAAUGAUGUUACUUUUACCACAUUAAUUAGGGGGCAAUCCAAGAGUGGUAGAAUUGAUUUGGCCAUGGAAAAUUAUCAGCAAAUGUUAAGAAAAGGCCUGAAACCUGAUUUGAUUUUGUAUAAUACACUCAUUAACGGCCUUUGCAAGGUUGGGGAUUUUGAGGAAGCAAGAAAGCUUGUUGAUGAGGUGCAUAAGAGACGAAUGAAACCUGAUAAGAUCACAUACACCAUACUCAUAGAUGGUUAUUGUAAGGAGGGAGAUUUAGAAUCAGCUUUGGAGAUUAGGAAGGUAAUGUUGAAGGAAGGAAUUGAGCUUGACAAUGUAGCAUUCACUGCCCUGAUUUCAGGAUUAUGUAAAGAAGGUAAGAUAAAUGAUGCAGAAAAAACAUUGAGGGAAAUGCUGAAAGCAGGUUUAAAGCCGGAUGAUAUGACUUACACUAUGGUCAUGGAUGGAUACUGUAAGAAGGGUGAUGUCAAGACCGGGUUCAAGUUGCUCAAAGAGAUGCAGAGUGAUGGCCACGUACCAGGAGUUAUAACUUAUAAUGUGCUUAUGAAUGGACUCUGCAAGCAAGGUCAAAUGAAAAAUGCUAAUAUGCUUUUAGAUGCUAUGCUUAAUUUGGGAGUAGUUCCAGACGACAUAACUUAUAACAUUUUAUUAGAGGGUCAUUGCAAGCAUGGAAAUUUAAAAGACUUGCAUAAAGUAAAGAGUGAAAUAGGACUUGUGGCAGACUAUGCAUCUUAUAAGUCACUACUUAAUGAGCUUAGCAGAGAUUCAAAAGAUUUCCGUAAGAGAUGAUUUCUGCCGGUCAAAUGAGUGUUGGGUUUUCAGAUUUGGUUAACAUAGCUGAUGAGCGGACUUAAAAAUGAUUGGGACAAACUUCAACCGAGUGAUUUGGAGAAAAUUGAAGUCCUUUGUUUCGGCGAACUGGCCGUUGUAUUUGACUUCAACCCAAUUAUCCCCAAGGAUUACGAUGGCCUUUUACAGGUUUUGUUGCUGCACCAUUAAAGAUCCAAUCUGAGUGAAAGUAAUCAGCAAAAGAGGAGAAAAAUACUCUGAAACGAAAGUGUUGUAAGUAAUUAAAGAUGUAUUCCUUUUGUUGGAAUGUUUGAGAUUUUUACUAGAGAUAUCUUUUCCAGAAAUUAGAUGAUAAAAUCUAAAGUUAAUUGUGAAUGUGUAUGUCCUUGAGUUGAAGAAUGUUGUUUGAAGUGAAGAAAUGUGUUAGUUGUUGUGUUAGGUAGCAAUAAUGCUCUUCUUGUCUAUGUAAUCUGCUGCUACAUAAAGCAACCUUUGUUAGGGAAAAAUGUAGAGAGAAGAAUGAAGAGAGUUAGAGAGUUGUAAGAAACUUAUGUUCAAAAUGAAAAGGAAAAGAAAGAAAUCUCUGUUUAUAUUUCA